rnacentral:rRNA from 1 species
AACGUAGGAGACAAACGUUAUCCGGAGUUACUGGGCGUAAAGCGCACGUAGGCGGCUUUGCAAGUUAGAGGUGAAAGCCCGGGGCUCAACUCCGGAAUUGCCUUUAAAACUGCAUCGCUAGAAUUGUGGAGAGGUAAGUGGAAUUCCGAGUGUAGAGGUGAAAUGCGUAGAUAUCGUAAGGAAGACCAGUGGCGAAGGCGGGUCUCUGGACAGUUCCUGACGGCUGAGGCACGAAGGCC